UACGGAGGGUGCGAGCGUUGUCCGGAAUCAUUGGGCGUAAAGGGCGCGUAGGUGGCCCGGUCAGUUCGUGGUGAAAGCGCGGGGCUCAACCCUGCGUCGGCCAUGAAUACUGCCGCGGCUGGAGCACUGUAGAGGCAGGCGGAAUUCCGGGUGUAGCGGUGGAAUGCGUAGAGAUCCGGAAGAACACCGGUGACGAAGGCGGCCUGCUGGGCAGUUGCUGACACUGAGGCGCGACAGCGUGGGGAGCAAACAGG
rnacentral:rRNA from 1 species